GGUGGAUCUUGUUUCAGUUGAGGGUCUUUUAAGGAGAAGGUGUUAAGUAAGGGGGAUUCCAGUCAAGUGUUGUGCACUGUGGGAAAAAUUUCAGCAAAGAGCAGCAACUAUCUCUUGGCGUGGAUCAGUGAGUACGAGGGUAGUCUUGUGCUGUGGAUUUUCGUGGAUCUGGCAGUCAUUGACUUCAGCAAAUUCCAGCAACUUCAUGUUCUUAAACAAGGCUGUAAAUUGAGGACGGUGAUUCGAGACGGGCGUCUCGACAUUUGGAUUGGUUUGA